UUUGCCUGUUGACAGUUUGGAUGACCAGUGAACGGACUCCAAGCAGAAUUCUCCUUUGCCUGAACUCUGCUAGGAACUGGAACUUGGUACCAGCUAGACCAUGCACCUAAUCAGAGAGUCCAGACAAAUGUGGUACCUUUGGAAGACUUGUAUGGAUUACCCAGAAGUCUACACAUUAGAAAGGUACUAUUGAUGCACCUGGGGGAGGGCAGACGGGCAGGAGGCAAAGCUGGACAAGAAGAGAAGAGCGUCUCAUCUGCAGAACAGGAUCCUGGAAGUUAAGAAAAGCUGGUUCCCCUGGGAACAGGUAUGUCGGUCGGUCGGGGAACAGCAGCACGUCAAACCCACUUUCUUCUGUCUAUUUUACCUAAUUUCCCUCUAUUGGCUCAUAAACUGAGAAAAGGCCCACAGGAACCAAGCAGGACAGAAAUGAUACUUAGAGCUCAGUGAAGGACUUAACAACAACUUUUGUUCAAUGUCAAACUGCUUAGAAGGGGCUGGUUCUGUUUCUAAGUGGUCGUGGAUUCUGCUUACCAGUGAUUCUGGUGCUUCAUUUUCCCAGGGAAAGUGACUUCUAUUCUUCAUUAGGAGCCUAUAUUCCAGGCUGGGUAAUUGAAUAAUCACUGGAUUGCAGACAGCAUCCAAGCAGGAGAUCUCCCUCCACCACACUGCUUGCCUCAUGUGCCCACUCCAGCUCCUUCAAGCUCUUGUAAACAGCAUUCAUUUUCCAUUACAAGCUAGGAAAUGUGGCUGUGCAGCAAUGGUGCUGGGUCACUGGAGAGGGCCUGCCAGGGAGCCUGCUUCCUCACAUCUCAUUUUAGUUUGUAACUUGCUGGCGAGGUUGGGUCAUCACUAAAGCUCCAUGUCUUCCCAUCCCUAACUUAUGAAACAGCCAGCGACCCGCUGGAGGACUAGCAGAUCAACCAGAUGUUUCCUGAGCAAAGACAGCAUUCACAUCAUCUUGUGAGGGUGGGGAGGGGUGUGCUGGCGGGACACUCACCCUGUCUGACAUCAUCGGGUGGGAGAAUUUCAAAGCAGAGCAUCUUGGCCAGGGAAGAGCUCAGCUGGCAGCUGUGUGCUGGGAUUAACUGACCCAGAUAACUAGGGAGGAGGAAUCAGCAACUUAUGUGUGUUUAUUCCCCAGGACUAAUUAGACCCUCCACUCCCUGAAUCUCAUGGGCUACAGGAGAACCUCCCCCAUGGCUCCACAUGCGCAGUCAGGAUCAUGUUCACCAUAUUGCUUCUCAUCCCAACUCCUUGUUUUCCCUGACUUGCAGCUGAGGCUGAAGUGGGACAAGCUCAAUUGAUUGCAAUGCCAACAAUAGUAAAAAAUUAUUAUUAUUAAUAAUAAAUCAAAUAAUCCUCCUUCCUCCCCAAACACAGGGAGCUCAAAUCCUAAAAUAUAUGAUUUCAAAUCAUCUCUUUAAUUCAUCACUAGCUUGUCAGAUUCAGGUUGCUAAGACCAGUAAAAUAAAAUAAUUUUUUAAUAUAGGGACAUAGACAAGGAAUUGACAGCUUCCUCUUAGAAAGACCAUUACAAGUAAAUGAAAUAAACGAAUAAAUAAAGUAGAAUGCACAUACCAUUUGCUAUCACGAUGAUCUCGUAAAACAAAGGUUAAUUUAAUCUCCUUGACUCACAUCCCUCCAAGGAAUUUUCCUCACUCUCAUAAUCAAAUGGAAACUACUGAGACCUAAAAAGUUCCAUAUGACUCAGGAUCUGACCCCUGCCUACUGUCUCAGCUCCACCUCCUCAUUCUCUUAUUGUUUUCCGGCCUUUUCUCUGUCCCACAAACAUGCACUGGUCUUUGCAUUUGCUGUUCCCAGCAUCUAGAAUGCUCUUCCCCCAGGUCUUGUGGACACUGCACUGCCUGAAGCAAGCAGCUUUCUGAUUUGGCUCCCAGUGAUAUAAUUCCUGGGAUUCAUGUCCUUGGGUGAUCCCUUCCUCUGUGUUUAAGCUGGAGCUGGAACUAGUGCCUUGGUUCUAAAGAACAGAAAAGAAGAGAUCUGCUCUAAAGAACAGCAACUGAGAUGAGGUUCUAAACGUCUGAGACUUCCUUCUUGCUCAUGCUCUCUCUCUGGCACCUCUCACUUGCUCUGAUGAAGCAAGUUGACAUUUGUGAGCUGCUCUCUAAAGAGGCUGGUACAACAGAGAACUGAGGGUGGUCUCUUGGCUAGCAGUCAUUCAGGACCUUUCAUCCAACAGGUUGGGAGGACCUGAGUCCUGCCAACAACCUCCCAAGGGAGUCUGAAGCAGAGUCUUCCCUGUCCUAUCAGGCCUUGCAGUGACUGCUCUCCCAAGGACACCUUGGCUGCAAUCUUGCGAGAGAACCUGAGCCCAUCCCUGAACCAGCUCAGCCGCAUCCAGGUCCCAGAGACACUGAAACUAUGAGAUAAGAAGUCCUGUUUUCAGCCCAUACAUUCUGGCAUAAUUUGAUAUACAGUGAAAGACGACUAAGCCGCUUCCUUACUCCACUCAGGUCUCUGCUCAAAUGUCUCCCUGCUUAAAGUACUCUCUCACCUCCCAAACCAACCAACCCACAAAAUUCAUCACACACCAUGCUCUAUUCCCUUACGCAUCUGCAUUGCUCUUUAUGGAGAUUAUCAGUACUCACAUUUAUAUUAUAUAUGUGUUUAUUUAUCAGGUGGUUUCCCUACUCAAAUGAAUAAAAAAUUCAGUGAACACCAUGUCUGUCAUUUUCCUGGUAAAUAAGAUGACUAUAUACUUGCCCUGAUGGUGCUCAGGUUUAUUUGACAAAUACUUAUUGUAGGCCUACUAUACACCAGGUCCAGGGACCGUAGUUUAUUUAUUUCUGUUCCCUGGUAUGUGGGCCUAUUAAUUUUAAUUUGUGGCUAAGCCUCCUUUUUAAAUUAAGCUGUUCUGUUUGAUAAUGCACCUUUCUAUGCCUUUAACUGAGUAUUUCAUUAAGAUGUCUGUAUUUUGUCAAGUCUGGGGCUUGUAUGUGAUUAAAGUCCCAGGUUAAAUGAUCAAGAUUUGAAAAAUUCUUACUUCACUACCUUUUCUAUUCCUCUCUUACAAAUCUGAAUUAAGUGGUUAAUGCCCAAUCAUGCUUUCUUCUUCUUCUACCCUUGGAAGACUAAAGGUCUUAGAAACCCCUCAGAAACUCAAAUCCAUAAUAUAUUAUCAGAUGCUUUUGCUUAGCAAAUUGGAUGUCUGAAGAGGUGAAGUCAUCUAUCACCUUCAGAUUUCUGUUUGUUGAGAUAGAGGAUUAAUGUCAAGGCAGUGCCAUUCAUAACAAGGCCACGUGGACUGAAAUUACUGCUAGGUCAUAAAUGGUUUAUUGUCAACUCCUGUCUUGAUUUUGCAUGUUUGUGCUACUGGCUGGUGUGCCGAUCACUCUGUCUAUAGUGUUACCUUCCCCUUAAAACCUGCAAAAACCUGGUGCUUCUUCAAGAACACAUUCAAUACUACAUCCUCCAGUGGUAGCUUCCUAAAUCCCUUCCUCCAGCUUUUACUCAUGGUAUUUGCACUGUAUCUUGUCACAUCUCAGAAUAGCUUAAAUCAUUUACUGCUGUGCUAUGUCCUAGCUCUGAAGAGGUUGAGUAGAUUCUUGUAUCCUGGAGGCUGCUGGGUCUCUGGAUGAGUAUUAAGAUGAUGCUUGUUUUCGGAGUCUCAAACUGUUUCAUCCUCGAGUGGCUGAUGCAUCCAGGUGCUUUGAAGACAUUUUCAUUCUAACCUAUGCUGCUGUGAGCUCCCACUAAUGAUUGGGGAGAGUCAGCAACACUCAGGGAGGAUAAGGACGCAUGUCAGGGAGGUACAAGGCCACAUAUUUCACCGCUCUCUCCUCACCCUUUAAGUUCCAGCCAUGCUGAGCAUGUUUAACAGUCUCGGUGCUCUGCACUGUCACUCAUUCCUUUCCCUCUGCUUGACAUGCUCUUCGAAUCCUGUCUACCAUCUGUGUCUGAUAAAGCUUAUUCACCCUCUUGGGGUCUCAGCUGAAAAUACCACUUCCCGUAGGAGGAGUCUCCUGAUUCCCCUAUUAUGACACUUCACUUACUACACUGUAGGGCAAUUGUGUGAUUACAUGUGUGUUCCCUUCACUUAACUGUAAGUUUCUUAUGGGAGAAGAUGCUAUCUUUCUUGCUUAUUGUUGUAUCUGUAAAGGUUAACACAGUGCCUGACAUGUAACAGCUGCUCAACUUGUACCUAUUAAGUGAAUUAAUGAAUGUAGUGUUCCCUGCUGUCAUGGGGGCUGAAAUGUCAUAGUAGGCGCAAGAUAAGCACACAAACAAUCAGCAUGUUAAUGCCUCCAUUGACAAUCCCCAAGGAUUCUAUGGAGAUAGCACUGUUCCUCUCAUUUUACAGAAAGGAAAAUUUAGGCUUAGAAGUUCUGGCAUUUCCCAACAUGAUUUCCCAGCUAGAAAGCGGCAGAAUUGGAUUUGAACUCUAGUCUUCUGAUACCACAUUAAGUGCUUUGUACAUAAUGUUGCAACGAUAUGCAGCAAGUGUUAACAAAACUGAUACAAAAUCUUUUCAGAAAUGGAUGAAUUCAUUCCUAGAUAACAUAACAUUUCAGUGUGACUCUGAAAGACAAAUCAGCUUCUUUAUAAAGGAUGAUUGUCAAUUACCAAAAUAUAAUCAAACAAUCAAUCUUCACGCAUUAUGAUAAGUUCAACUAACACAUACAUGUUUAAUGCAAGAAGUGGAAGUUCACCCCGCUCUUCCUCUCACUAUGUUCUUAAGAGAUAACCAUCAUAAAUCAUAUCUGUGUGUUCACACAUGAUAGGGUGGUUUUGUCUUAUUUAAUUUAAGAAGAUUGACACUAUAAAUACUAUUCUGCAGCCUCCUUUAAAAAAAAACCUUCAAUACAACUUGAGCUGCCUUCUAUCUGGUAUCAAUAUAUUUAAAUACUGCACAUUUACCUGCUUCCUUCCAUUCCUUUGUAGGAAUAUUCCAUAAUUUGUUUAAUCAUUCUCCUAUUGGGGCAUUUAGGUAGUUUUCUAUUUUCUCCUCAAAUAAAUAAUUCUGCAAUAAUUCUCUUGUGUAUACAUCUCUGAGCUGUCGGCAAAGAUGUUCAGUCCAUCAAUUUCUAAAAAUACGGUUUCUUGUGUCAUGGGUUACAUGUAAUUGAAACUGUGAAUGAAACUCACAAAAAUGCCCAGGAUGUGAAAAAGUUCAAACUGGAGGGCAAAAGGCAUUCAAGGUGAUGAGAGCCACAUAAAUAAAGGUACGUAAAAACCUUA